UAGGUUUUAUUUCCCUCCCAGCUGGAGUCAUGACUCCCGCCUCUACCUUUUCGACUUCAUAUCUCCCACUCUCGUUAGGGUUUGAAAUUAGGGCAUUCUUCGAGCUUAUAUCCGUCCUUAUUUUUUUUUUUUGUGCCACUAUGCUACAUCGAUCCAUCCCAACUUCGACAUUAACUCAGCCGACAUCUGUAUUGGGAGCACAUACGAUCUUCAUUCGUCCCAAUUCGUAUCUCCUCACCAUCUUCCUGCGGUCUACAAAUCUUCCGACUUCAACGAGGCUAUUGAACUUUUGAAGCUACAAGCUCUCUGGUCUCUUGGAGUGCAGAGACAAUGAAACCCAGGUACAUCAACAUAUUGCAUUUCAUCACGAUCAAAAUGUUUAAAGAAAGAUUUAGUUUUGUUUUCAUUCAAAGUGAUUCUAUUAAACUAUGAAUAAUUAUCAUGGGUAUUUGUUUUUUUGGUGUGUAUUUAUCAAUGGGCAUUAUAUAUACAGAUGUUUUCAUUAAACCAUGUAUUGUAAUGUAAAAAUGUGGCACAUAAAUGAUUUUGAUGUUGAUUUUCGUUCUUGAGUGUCACUUUAAUUGUGAAAUCUCGUUUCUUACUACUUAGAUUGAAGUCAUUGAUACGAGUAAGGAGGUGGAUUUGGAUCUUAUCAAGACAAAUUUGUCAGGUUUGACACCUUAUGCUGCUGGCUAUCCUUUUCUUUCUCUUUUUCUAUUCUAUGUACCCCUGCUUUUUGUAGUUCAGAUAAACUGAGAUGACAAUUGCUGAUAAAUCAACAAAGAUUAUAGAAUGUCAACGUGUUUGUUUUAGUAGCAAGGACUCUAUGAUGCUGAAGCUACAUGGUAAGAGACGUUGUUGUUUUUUAAUGAUAUUUCUUGGUAUUUUUACAAAUAUAUGAAUGGUUAAUGUUUCACUAUUAUCCUUAGAUAUGCUUCCAGUAUUCCAUAUUUUGUUUAUAGUCACAUGAUAUUUUCUUUUCUUCACUUGUUGGUUGCAUACUAAAGCUUCUUUUACCUUAUUUCAAUUUGAAAUCGAACAUAUUGAUGUUAAAUUGUUCUAAUAAAAUGACGUGUGUCAUAUUUGUGGAAGAGCUUAAAAUUUUCAAUUCUCUUAAAUUCUUAAUUUGCAAAAGGAAAUGUCUUUCUAAAUUGGUCAUAUAGUUAGAAUUUCCGAUACAAUGAUAAGAUUUGUUCAUGAACUUUUCUAUUCUUAUCAUACAUGUUUUGAUCUUUAACCUUUUGUAGAGGAAUGACAGUCGUACUUUAAUUGGAGAACCAAUAUAAUAAUCUUUGAUAUUGCUAAUCUUGAACUUGAUGUUUAAUUUAAAUCAAUUUUUGGUUUUUAAAUUAUAUAUUCCACUACAUAGCUAUCAUUUGAAUGUUAAUUGUUUACAUAUGUAUUAGAAGCUGUAUGAGAUAACAACAUAUAAAUAUGAGAUAACAACAUAUAAAUCCUAAACACUCAUAGUUUUCUUUUGGAGGACUCGAAAAUCAAUCUCUAAUUGGUAUUUUUUCAAAAUAUAAGAUUGAGUGUACAGUCUAUCCAAGUGAUCUCAUACUUCCUUUGUAUGUAUCAUACUUUUCCUAUUGACUAACUAUCGAUGCAGGUGAUAAUAGUAAUACUAGAAUUAUCUAUUUCUCAAGCUUCUACUAACAUUGCAUAAUUAGUAGCUUUCUCAUUCUGUUUUCCUUUUAUAAUGGUAACAAUACCUCACAUCUGUUUACCCUUACGUUGUAAGAAAUUUUUCAAUACAUAUUUCCAAUAAGCAUAUAUUUUGCCAUCUAGUUGGUGCUAAUGAACUGUAGAAAGUCAUCGUUGGGAGCCAUAUUAAGAAUAAUCAAAGUAAACGAAUAAGGAAAAUUUUAUGUAGGGUUAACAUAGCCAAAGGGCUAAACAAUAGAAAAUAAACUCAAAAGUACUUUUAUUAUAUAUACCAAAGCAACCAUCUUCUCCAACUUCCAAGAUUACGUAAAGGUGAUUGUUUACUGAUGAGGUAUAUUGGAACUCAUAUGAUGAUAGCAUUAACAAAAAGUGACUUCACAAGAUUUAUGAGUUCAUCUCCAACGUAUGUGAAAUGGUCUUUAUCCUUGUACAAGAGAUCCAUGACACGUCCUAAAUUCGCAACCCGCCUAUUUAUUGGCAUUUUAACAUCUUUACACAUUAUGGACUCUUUAUUUAUUUCUUUCCAAGCAUCUUCAACUUUCUCACUAAAGAGACCAUAUAAAUAUUGCUCAGUAGUAGCAUCAAAUUGCUUCAUAUAGCAUUCGAUGACAGAGGCAACAUGCUUUCUUUCUUGCUCCUUCUGCAUUUAUUUUUCCAAAUUAACGUCAGUUACUUACAAAAUUAUCCAAGAUUGAUUAAGGAAUAACACAUAAAGUUUUGGGAGAGGUUAAUUAAUUUGGGUGUUUCACAGUUACAUAUACAUCGCUUUGUAGCAUCACAAAAAACAUAGUUGGUUAUACCUUGUGGGUGACAAUAUCAUCCAUCAACCUGC
rnacentral:lncRNA from 1 species